UGAGGAAUAUUGGUCAAUGGGUGCAAGCCUGAACCAGCCAUCCCGCGUGAAGGAUGACUGCCCUAUGGGUUGUAAACUUCUUUUGUAUAGGGAUAAACCUACCCUCGAGAGGGUAGCUGAAGGUACUAUACGAAUAAGCACCGGCUAACUCCGUGCCAGCAGCCGCGGUAAUACGGAGGGUGCAAGCGUUAUCCGGAUUUAUUGGGUUUAAAGGGUCCGUAGGCGGACUUAUAAGUCAGUGGUGAAAGCCUGUCGCUUAACGAUAGAACUGCCAUUGAUACUGUAAGUCUUGAGUAUAUUUGAGGUAGCUGGAAUAAGUAGUGUAGCGGUGAAAUGCAUAGAUAUUACUUAGAACACCAAUUGCGAAGGCAGGUUACCAAGAUAUAACUGACGCUGAGGGACGAAAGCGUGGGGAGCGAACAGG
rnacentral:rRNA from 2 species